rnacentral:rRNA from 1 species
GUAGGUGGCAAGCGUUGUCCGGAAUUAUUGGGCGUAAAGCGCGCGCAGGCGGUUCUUUAAGUCUGAUGUGAAAGCCCACGGCUCAACCGUGGAGGGUCAUUGGAAACUGGAGAACUUGAGUACAGAAGAGGAAAGCGGAAUUCCACGUGUAGCGGUGAAAUGCGUAGAGGAUGUGGAGGAACACCAGUGGCGAAGGCGGCUUUCUGGUCUGUAACUGACGCUGAGGCGCGAAAGCGUGGGGAGCAAACAGGGAUUAGAUACCCUGGUAGUCCACGCCGUAAACGAUGAGUGCUAAGUGUAGGGGGUUUCCGCCCCUUAGUGCUGCAGCUAACGCAUUAAGCACUCCGCCUGGGGAGUACGGCCGCAAGGCUG